AAUAGAGGAACAAAGGCUAAAACCGCCACGUCCUGUGGCAACGCCUUUGCACCUGCCGCUUACGCUUUCGGUGCAGA
rnacentral:sRNA from 1 species